GACGAACGCUGGCGGCGUGCUUAACACAUGCAAGUCGAACGGAAAGGCCCUGCUUUUGUGGGGUGCUCGAGUGGCGCACGUGUGAGUAACACGGGAGUCACCUUCCCUUGACUUUGGGAUAACUUCAGGAAACUGGGGCUACUACCGGCUACGUGCUCCUGCUGCAUGGUGGGGGUUGGACAGUUUCGGCGGUUGGGGAUGGACUCGCGGGUUAUCAGCUUGUUGGUGGGGUAGUUGCUUACCAAGGCUUUGACGGGUAGCCGGCCUGGGAGGGUGAACGGCGACAAGGGGACUGAGGGACGGCGCAGACGGCAACAGGAGGCAGCAGGGGGGAAUAUGGCACAAUGGGCGGAAGCCUGAGGAAGCAACGUCGGGAGCGGGAUGACGGCCUUGUGGUGGGAAACCGCUGUCGGCUGUGACGAAGCGGGAGUGACGGUAAUGGGUAAAGAAGCACCGGCUAACUACGUG
rnacentral:rRNA from 1 species